rnacentral:rRNA from 1 species
UACGGAGGAUGCGAGCGUUAUCCGGAUUUAUUGGGUUUAAAGGGUGCGUAGGCGGGUUAUCAAGUCAGCGGUAAAAUCGUGGAGCUCAACUCCAUCCAGCCGUUGAAACUGAUGAUCUUGAGUGGGCGAGAAGUAUGCGGAAUGCGUGGUGUAGCGGUGAAAUGCAUAGAUAUCACGCAGAACACCGAUUGCGAAGGCAGCUUACAAAUCUAUAUCGGACGCUGAGGCACGAAAGCGUGGGGAGCAAACAGG